UACGUAGGGUGCGAGCGUUGUCCGGAAUUACUGGGCGUAAAGAGCCUCGUAGGUGGUUUGUCGCGUUGUCCGUGAAAACUCACAACUCAAUUGUGGGCGUGCGGGCGAUACGGGCAGACUGGAGUACUGCAGGGGAGACUGGAAUUCCUGGUGUAGCGGUGGAAUGCGCAGAUAUCAGGAGGAACACCGGUGGCGAAGGCGGGGUCUCUGGGCCGAUACUGACGCUGAGGAGCGAAAGCGUGGGGAGCGAACAGG
rnacentral:rRNA from 1 species